rnacentral:rRNA from 1 species
GACGAACGCUGGCGGCGUGCUUAACACAUGCAAGUCGAACGAAGAGCGAUGGAAGCUUGCUUCUAUCAAUCCUAGUGGCGAACGGGUGAGUAACGCGUAAUCAACCUGCCCUUCAGAGGGGGACAACAGUUGGAAACGACUGCUAAUACCGCAUACGAUCUAAUCUCGGCAUCGAGGAUAGAUGAAAGGUGGCCUCUACAUGUAAGCUAUCACUGAAGGAGGGGAUUGCGUCUGAUUAGCUAGUUGGAGGGGUAACGGCCCACCAAGGCGAUGAUCAGUAGCCGGUCUGAGAGGAUGAACGGCCACAUUGGGACUGAGACACGGCCCAGACUCCUACGGGAGGCAGCAGUGGGGAAUCUUCCGCAAUGGACGAAAGUCUGACGGAGCAACGCCGCGUGAGUGAUGACGGCCUUCGGGUUGUAAAGCUCUGUUAAUCGGGACGAAAGGCCUUCUUGCGAAUAGUGAGAAGGAUUGACGGUACCGGAAGAGAAAGCCACGGCUAACUACGUG